AGGAUGAACGCUGGCGGUCUGCUUAACACAUGCAAGUCGAACGGAGUAGCAAUACUUAGUGGCGGACGGGUGAGUAACGCGUGAGAAUCUACCUUCAGGACGGAGACAACAGUUGGAAACGACUGCUAACCCCCGAUGUACCGAAAGGGCAAAUAUUUAUAGCCUGAAGAAGAGCUCGCGUCCGAUUAGCUAGUUGGAGAGGUAAAAGCUCACCAAGGCGACGAUCGGUAGCUGGUCUGAGAGGACGAUCAGCCACACUGGGACUGAGACACGGCCCAGACUCCUACGGGAGGCAGCAGUGGGAAUUUUCCGCAAUGGGCGAAAGCCUGACGGAGCAAGACCGCGUGGGGGAAGAAGGCUCUUGGGUUGUAAACCCCUUUUCUCUGGGAAGAACGCAAUGACGGUACCAGAGGAAUCAGCAUCGGCUAACUCCGUGCCAGCAGCCG
rnacentral:rRNA from 1 species